GAUGAAGAACGUAGCGAAAUGCGGUACGUAGUGUGAAUUGCAGAAUUCAGUGAAUCAUCGAAUCUUUGAACGCACAUUGCGCCCUUUGGUAUUCCAAAGGGCAUGCCUGUUCGAGCGUCAUUUGUACCCUCAAGCUUUGCUUGGUGUUGGGCGUCUUGUCUCCAGUCCGCUGGAGACUCGCCUUAAAGUCAUUGGCAGCCGGCCUACUGGUUUCGGAGCGCAGCACAAGUCGCACUCUUUUCCAGCCAAGGUCAGUGUCCAACAAGCCUUUUUUCAACUUUUGACCUCGGAUCAGGUAGGGAUACCCGCUGAACUUAAGCAUAUCAAUAAGCGGAGGA
rnacentral:misc_RNA from 1 species